rnacentral:lncRNA from 1 species
UUAGAAGCAACUCAUGCAUACAUAGAUUCAUUCUCAUCAUUCUACCCCUUUUUGUUAUAAGUAAUCUCAAGUUCUAACCUCUUUAUCAUCAUCUCAAAAUCAAAAUAAACCCCUCACAUCACUCACCCAAUGAACAACUCUCUUUUUCUUUUGACUCAACCACUAGGGAUUUUAAGUAACUUUUUACAAGCUCUAACCCUUUUUUAUUCCCUUCCCCAACUUCUCUUUGAUUCUUUUUCUUUUCUUUCUCUUUCUCUCUUUUUUUUUUUUUUUAUUAGGGGAAAGUUCUUUGUUGCAUAAUCAAGAGCUUCAUAUUUUCUUUUUAUCCCUAGA